rnacentral:rRNA from 1 species
CCCGACUGCCAUUUGGGUGAGAAUAAGCCAUGCGAGUUGAAUGGGAUACCUAAAGUUCCCAUGGCAAACUGCUCAGUAACACAUGGUCAACUUGCCCUAUGGAGAAAAAUAACCUCGGGAAAGACAUAGUGGUUAAUAUAAACUACGAUACCCCGAUACUGAGGAUAAUGUUUCAUAGUUGAAUAGGCUUGGAAAAGUUUUUCAAUGAAAGGGAUAAAGAAAAUGGUCUUUAUUUGCCAUAGGAUAGGAUCGUGCUCGAUUAUGGUUGUUGGUGAGGUAACGGCUCACCAAGCCGAUAAUCGAUAGGGGCCGUGAGAGCGGGAGCCCCAAGAUGGGUACUGAGACAGCGACCCAGGCCUUACGAGGCGCAGCAGGUACGAAACCUCCGCAAUACACGAAAGUGUGACGGGGUUACCCAAAGUGUUCUUAUAGAACUGUGGCAGGUGAGUAAUGUCCCCUGCUAGAAAGGAGAGGGCAAGGCUGGUGCCAGCCGCCGCGGUAAAACCAGCUCUUCAAGUGGUCGGGAUAAUAUUGGGCUUAAAGUGUCCGUAGCCGGUUUAGUAAGUUCCUGGUAAAAUCAGGUAGCUUAACUAUCUGUAUGCUAGGAAUACUGCUAUACUAGAGGGCGGGAGAGGUCUGAGGUACUACAGGGGUAGGGGUGAAAUCUUAUAAUCCUUGUAGGACCACCAGUGGCGAAGGCGUCAGACUGGAACGCGCCUGACGGUGAGGGACGAAAGCCAGGGGAGCGAACCGGAUUAGAUACCCGGGUAGUCCUGGCCGUAAACGAUGCAUACUAGGUGAUGGUACGGCCAUGAGCCGUGUCAGUGCCGUAGGGAAACCGUUAAGUGUGCCGCCUGGGAAGUACGGUCGCAAGGCUAAAACUUAAAGGAAUUGGCGGGGGAGCACCACAAGGGGUGAAGCCUGCGGUUCA